rnacentral:rRNA from 1 species
GAUGAACGCUGGCGGCGUGCCUAAUACAUGCAAGUCGAGCGAACAGACGGGGAGCUUGCUCCUCUGACGUUAGCGGCGGACGGGUGAGUAACACGUGGAUAACCUACUUAUAAGACUGGGAUAACUUCGGGAAACCGGAGCUAAUACCGGAUAACAUGUUGAACCGCAUGGUUCAACAGUGAAAGACGGUCUUGCUGUCACUUAUAGAUGGAUCCGCGCCGCAUUAGCUAGUUGGUAAGGUAACGGCUUACCAAGGCAACGAUGCGUAGCCGACCUGAGAGGGUGAUCGGCCACACUGGACCUGAGACACGGUCCAGACUCCUACGGGAGGCAGCAGUAGGGAAUCUUCCGCAAUGGGCGAAAGCCUGACGGAGCAACGCCGCGUGAGUGAUGAAGGUCUUCGGAUCGUAAAACUCUGUUAUUAGGGAAGAACAAAUGUGUAAGUAACUAUGCACGUCUUGACGGUACCUAAUCAGAAAGCCACGGCUAACUACGU